GCCCACAUGGUGUAAUGGUAACACAUGCAGCUUCAUUCCUUCCUCCUACGUAACUAUGUAGCUGCAAGUCUCUAGUUCGAUUCUAGUGUGGUCA